GACGGAGGGUGCUAGCGUUGUUCGGAAUGACUGGGCGUAAAGCGCGUGUAGGCGGCCAGGUAAGUCCGUUCUGAAAGCCCGGGGCUCAACCCCCGGGAGGCGGAUGGAUACUGCUUGGCUCGAGUCCGGAAGAGGCGAGUGGAAUUCCCGGUGUAGCGGUGAAAUGCGCAGAUAUCGGGAGGAACACCAGUGGCGAAGGCGACUACCUGGCCUGUUCUUGACGCUGAGGCGCGAAAGCUAGGGGAGCAAACGGG
rnacentral:rRNA from 1 species